rnacentral:rRNA from 1 species
AGUGAACGCUGGCGGUAGGCCUAACACAUGCAAGUCGAACGGCAGCACAGGAGAGCUUGCUCUCUGGGUGGCGAGUGGCGGACGGGUGAGGAAUACAUCGGAAUCUACUCUGUCGUGGGGGAUAACGUAGGGAAACUUACGCUAAUACCGCAUACGACCUACGGGUGAAAGCAGGGGAUCUUCAGACCUUGCGCGAUUGAAUGAGCCGAUGUCGGAUUAGCUAGUUGGCGGGGUAAAGGCCGACCAAGGCGACGACCCGUAGCUGGUCGGGGAGGAUGAUCAGCCACACUGGAAGUGAGACACGGUGCAGACUCCUACGGGAGGCAGCAGUGGGGAAUAUUGGACAAUGGGCGCAAGCCUGAUCCAGCCAUACCGCGUGGGUGAAGAAGGCCUUCGGGUUGUAAAGCGCUUUUGUUUGGAAAGAAAUCCAUCUGGUUAAUACCCGGGUGGGAUGACGGUACCCAAAGAAUAAGCACCGGCUAACUUCGUGCCAGCCGCCGCCGUAA